ensembl:snoRNA SNORA70 Small nucleolar RNA SNORA70
CUGCCGCUAGUUAAGCCAACUGUGCUCUUUCCCCACGGAGGCCUGCUGGGCCGUGGCCGAAAACAGUAGCCUCCUGGGUAGUGUAAGCAGCCUGUUGCUUGUUGGGGUUGCCCUAAGGGACCUUGGAGACAGCC